rnacentral:rRNA from 2 species
ACACUAAUAAUGCAACAAUAAAUUUUUGGUGAUAAUUAAUAAAAAUUUGAUAAGAAUUGUUAUUUAAUUUUAUUAGGUGAAAUUUUAAAAUUGAUUAAAAAUUUUUAAUUAGGUUAUGAGGUUAAUAAAUUCAGGUAUUAAACUAGGAUUAGAUACCCUAUUAUUCUGAACUUAAAGGGAAUUGCCAAAUUAGUAUUAGUUAUGAUCUUGAAAAUAAAAAAAGAUGGCGGUAUUUUAGUCUAUUCAGAGGAACCUGCCCUAUAAUUGAUGGUCCACGAUUUACUUUACUUAUUCUUUUAGUUUGCAUAUCGCCGUAGGUUGAAUAUUCUCCAAGGAAAAGUAAUGUUCAAGAUUUUUUUUAAUAAAAUAAAUCAGGUCAAGGUGUAGCUUAUGGAUAAGCAGAGGUGGGUUACAAUAAAUUUAUUUAUAACGGAAUAAAAAAUGAAAAUUUUUGUGAAGGAGGAUUUGAAGGUAAUUUUAUUUAAAUUUGUAAAAUGAUUUUAGCUCUAAAAU